rnacentral:rRNA from 1 species
CAGAGGUCCCGAGCGUUGUUCGGAUUCACUGGGCGUAAAGGGUGCGUAGGUGGCGAUGAAAGUUCGAUGUGAAAUCUCCGGGCUUAACCCGGAAAAGGCAUUGAAAAUUAUGUUGCUUGAGGUUUGGAGGGGGGACUGGAAUUCUUGGUGUAGCAGUGAAAUGCGUAGAUAUCAAGAGGAACACCAGUGGCGAAGGCGGGUCCCUGGACAACACCUGACACUGAGGCACGAAAGCUAGGGGAGCAAACAGGAUUAGAUACCCUGGUAGUCCUAGCCCUAAACGGUGCAUGUUUGCUGUAGGAGGAAUCGACCCCUUCUGUGGCGAAGCUAACGCGAUAAACAUGCCGCCUGGGGAGUACGGUCGCAAGAUUA